GGAGCAGCCCUGCAGACACAAGGGCAGGGGAGAAGGAGGGGCAGGAGGAGCUCCAGGCACUGGAGCUGAGAUUCCCUGCAGCCCAUGGGGGUCCACAGUGGAGCAGGGAUGCACCUGCAGCCCAGGAAGGAGCCCUGCAUGGAGCAGGGAUGCACCUGCAGCCCGGGAAGGAGCCCUGCAUGGAGCAGGGAUGCACCUGCAGCCCAGGAAGGAGCCCUGCAUGGAGCAGGGAUGCACCUGCAGCCCAGGAAGGAGCCCUGCAUGGAGCAGGGAUGCACCUGCAGCCCGGGAAGGAGCCCUGCAUGGAGCAGGGAUGCACCUGCAGCCUGGGAAGGAGUCCACGAUGGAGGCAGGGGGAUGUUCCCAGAGGAAGCUCUGGCUCUGCAGGAAGCCCACACUGGAUCAAGCUCCUGGCAGAACUCAUGGAGAGAGGAGCCUGAGGUGGAGCAGGUUUACUGUGACCUCAUGGGGGACCCAAGCUGGAGCAGCCUUUUCUUGAAGGACUGCACCCUGUGGCAAGAGGACACAUGGAAAAACCCUGGGGCAAGGGAAGAGAAUGAAGGGGAAGGAGCAGCAGGAGCAAUGUGAUGAACUGACCACAGCCUCCAUUCCCUGCACUGCUUGGAAGGAAUUCUGAAGUGAAGUUGAGCCUGGGAAGAAGGCAGGGAUGGGAGGAAGGUGUUUCAAGAUUUUGUUUCAUUUUCUCAUUACUCAACUCACACUUCUAAUUCAUGGUAAAUGAAGUUAAUUUCCUCAAGUGGAGUCCGUUUUGCCCAUGACAGUAAUUGCUGAAUGGUGUCUCCCUGUCCCUGCCUUUCCCACAAGCCUUUUGUUGUGUUCUCUCCCCUGCCCAGCUGGGUGGGCACCCAGCAUCCAACCAGGGUCAUCCCAUCGCAAUAGGAUUGUAUUUUUAGGCCUUGUCUCUCCAGGGAAGUUCACCAUUUCUUUAGCACCAGCUAUCCUGGUGUAAUUCUUUAUGUUGAAUUUAAAAAUUAAAAUCUUUCUCUUGGAUGCUGAAAAAUAACUUCGUUAUUUCUGAGGAAUUACACUGGUAUAAUUACACUGAUAUAAUUACAUUUGUAAUUCAGAUGGAAGAUUUCUCUUGUGGGCACUAGGGAAGGGCCAAAUUUGGUGCUUCGGGAAAUUUAAUUGCAAAUGGUGUUUAUUUUUUUGUUAUACCUCUCCCCUAUAACUAAAAAUAGGAACAUAACUUAAAAGGAGUGAAACCUUUUCUAGUUACUUACUUUCUCUCUCUUAAAAUGAUGGGUGAAAAACCAACCUGGCAUCAGUCUCCAGUUACAAAUUAUUCUAAAAGCACUUUAAUUUUCAUCCUUGGAGUGCAGAAGUAAAGUGAAGUCCAGUUAAUGUAGUGGCAGUGCAGAAUUCCAGCUUACAACCUUCCCUUUAUUUUCCCUAAUUGUCUCCUGGUUGAGCUGCUGACAGCAGUGAAGGGACUGUAAUGGUGCAGUUAUCUCCCAGCUGCCAGAAAUAGCAAAGGUUUAUUGAAAGCCUUAUUUAUGAGGAAUCUCCCUUUCCUGCAUUGUGAUAAACACCAAACCCAUGGCUCUUCCCCUGCUCUGCAAGAGCUGAUGUUGGAAUUAAUCUGUCUGCUGUUCAUGCACAGGGUAACAGGCAAAAGCUGUAAAUAGUAAUAUUUCAAUCCUAAGAUUGUUUUCCCUUUGGCACAAAGAUGAGGAAUUACUCUGGUCUGAAAUGUGGAGGGAAAGGGCUUUUCUCAGUGAAAAGUUUUCCAUGUUCCAUGGACAUCCCAGAAGGUCCCGACAGGGUGCACAGAAUCGGGAAUUGUCUGUGAAAUGUCUGGAAUCAAAAACCACUUUAAUGCCAAGUCUGAUUGUGUUUGUGAGGGACAAUUUCAGAUGAAAGCUGAUGGAUUUAUCACGAGGGAUGGACUUUGCAAGGACUGAGAGUCUUGGGCAUUACAGGUUUGGAAUGAAGAUGGUUUUCAGGUGGUAAAUGCCAGGAAUGAUCAAUAAUUGUUUAAAUCUGAUGGGUUUGCAGGUCUAAGGCCAUUACCUGUCUCUGCCAUUCUUUUGCUGCCAGUGGAUGUGCUGCAGCUCUGUCCAGCUUCAAAUGGAAUAGCAGGAGGGAACUCUGGACAAAGGCAGUUCCUAAAACAAGAGGCUGCUCAUACAGUAGAAUAUCUGUUCUAAAGAAGUGCAGUGGGUUUCUGGAGAUGACUGAAAACUUUCCCAUGUCAUGGAGUUGCUGGGUAAACUUUCCUGGCUUGGUGGUGGCUGUAUUGGAUUGAAUUGCUAUGGAGAAGCAGCAGGAAUCCUGGAAUGGAAAUGUAAAACUUACAUUGUACAGGAAGGGGAUGUGUUCCAGAACAACACUGAAAGUUCAGCUGAGAUGAGAUUGUGUAACACUUCUGCUGGAAGACUUCUUACCCCACUCCUGUGCUUCAUCUGUGUGUAGAUAAUUCUUACUAAAUAAAGGAUUUAUCUUUGUGAAUAGAAGUGGCUGUCCUGUCACAACGGCUCUUCCAGCUCUGCAGCAAUUCCCAGAGGAAACAGUCACUGCUAUGGAAUGUAACCUUUGACCCUUCUGCAGAUUUUGGGACUAAACUCAGGCAACUCAACCUGGAAAUCCAGCAGAAAUGUCGAGAGAGGACUUCUCCAGAGGCAGGUCUUCAGACUGGGCUGUGGGAUCUCCUUCAGAUGAGAAAUGUCAGUUGUACUAAAUGGCACAGUGGAUUUAUUAGUUAAAAGAAAAAGAGCCAAAAUGCUUUACUGGUGUUUUUGGGCAGAAUUUAAAACAGCGUCCCCAAAGCUGAAAGAGUCACGUAACAGCUCAGCUCCCCCACAUUAAUUUCCAGUUUCUAAUGCCCUUUAUAAUAUUGUCAAGUAAAACAUUUUAAACACCAACAUAAACUUGUAGAGCUCUCAGCCUUGUGCUGGAGAGGGAAAAGGAGACAAGUUCUUCCCCUCCAUUAUGGAAUGGAAUAAAGAGCCUGGAGCAGAAUACAUCAGGUGGUGGGGUGUCUUUGAGUGCCUUGUGCAGGGCUCUGCAAGUGUCAGCUGAAGAUUUUACUGGCCUUGUGCACACACCAACAAAUAUAUAGAGAAGUGAGGUUGAACAGAUGAAAGGUUUCCAUAUUACACUUGUCAGAGAAAAUGGAAUGUGAAGGUCAGUCUGUAGUUGGGAGGGAACCAUUCAAAAACAGCAAUGGAGGAAUUACGGAAUGGGCCGUGAGCUUUUAAAACAUGGAAAUACAUCUUCAUGUGUUUCCUCACAGAGUUGUAAAAAUCUUUAUUUCUUCAGUGAAUUCAUAAUCUUCCUGGCUUUUGAAGAACACAGAUAAAAGAUUCAGCUUAUUUACAAUUAAAACAAGGGAAUGUUCUCUGGGGAAAACAGUGUUUGCAGAAUCUGUAAAAGGUGAUGAGUGCUAUCGCGUGUCGAUGCUGCUACUUGUGAUUGCAGGAACGUAGGAUACUUGGCAGGAUACAAGAGAGGGGGAAGAGCACAAGGCACAAGUAUUUUAGGCUGGAGUUGUUCCUUCUGCCUUGUGGAAAUUGCUUCACUUCAAAGCCCACACAAGGACUAUGCUGGUUACACACACACACAAUGUUUCUGAAGUCUACAGGGUAAAAAUUAAUGACCUGAUGUUGUACAGUACAGAGACUUUUUUUUAAAAAAAACCCGAUAUUUUAUUUUACAGUAGGUAAAUGUCAGAGGAAGAGAAAUGCAGAGUGGUGAGCAUGGGUUAGUGGAGAAGGAAGAUUUUGUCCAUUCAAUCCCUUCACUCCCAACAGUGAGCGCUAACCUGGGCCCUGCAUGGCAGCGGGCGUGUGCAGCGGCCCCUUGGGCUUCGUGUGUGAGCUGAUCUCUCCUCCCUAGACACGACCUUACCUUGUGCCUCAUCUUCCUUCUCCCCUUAUUGGGGCUGUAAUUCCUAAAACUUAAAUUCUCCCUAAAACAUUUCCUGUCUAUAAACCAGAGGAAGCAUUAGCAGCUUCAGUCUUAGGGCUGGGCUUUGUCCCAUGUGUUCUGUGGAGAGGUGCUGCUUCCAAAGGUGACCUCAGUGGAAUGGGACACUGUGAAGGCUCCUGUGCUGCCUUUGCACAUCUGUAGCCACAGCCUUGCAGGGAGAGGUUUGUUCAGUGAAAUGCUGCUUGAGGAGCUGUGUCACAGCCUCUGCAUUUUCCAGUUUGGGCUUCAGGUCACCUGAAACAGCAGCCCGCUCCAACAGCCUGCUCCAGGUGGUUCUUUUGUGCUGGGCUCAGGUGUCACUGGGGUUCUCCAGGUGUCUCAUUUUCAGCAGCAUGUCUGGGUGAGUUAGUUGUGCUUCCAGAAUGCUCAGGGAGCUUUGCAGACAGCAGCCAGUGCACACGAUUGCCACAGCAUGGAAAGAUCCAUUUUAAUGCCACAUCUGCUAAAAAUCAGUGUUUGCAAGAGCACUGCUUAGUGCUGCUGCAGAGAGGAAACCUGGCUGCUCAAGGUGUGUUUGGGUGCUGUGCUGCUGCAACAUGUGGAGCAAUUGCAUUGUCUUCUGUUUUCUUACCAGUUUUGAUGUUAGGAAUCUCCAGCUGACCACAGAAACCUUCUGUCACCAAAUGUAGAACUCCAUGGCUAAAAGGUUACCUCCUGAAGAGCAUGAUUUAGCCUGUUAGGUGGGGUUUUUAAUAGUUGCUAUGCUCCCAGCAAAACUGGUAGUUGGAAUUUCAAGUAGUUAAUGAAUUCUCUAAUCAAAAUACGUUGUACCAAAAAGUGGCUGAAAGUUGCUUAAAUAUUCCCAAGACUUUGUGCAAGUCCUGUCCUAGGUUUGUACGUGAAUUACUUUAAUUCUGCCAGAUAUAGCUGGAUAUUUCCAUGAUGCAGUGGCAGCAAAGCUGGGAAGAAUUUAUUGGCACAACAACUGUGUCCAGCAUGUGCUGGUGUGGGGUGUUUCCAACACUUCGUAUCUUCCCUCAGGAGGUGUCUCUGUGUAAUUCCCAGGUGAAUAAUGCUCACAACUCCUCAUUCAUACAGGAAAUGCCACACCAUCGAGCCCUGGUAGUAAUGUACUGAGUAUGUCCAGUGAAAAGGGAACAAUAGAGGCUGGGCUGCAGCACUGAAAUUAUUUCCUGAUGGAAAUGGUCCAGGAAUCAAAGACAGCAAGUCAAAUGCAAAUAACAUUCAUGAAAACAAAAGGGAGCCAUAAAAAACUACAUUCUAGUGGAUGAUCAGCUCUGGAAGCUGAAAGAAAAAAGUGGGUUUUAUUGAUUAUUUUGUGGGAUUUGUUUAAUUUAAUUGAAGGCCCUAAACUUUCUGUUAUUUAGUCUGCUGGGAAGCAGUCAAGUUCCAGUAAAUAAACAUGCAUGUGAUUCCAGUAGGUAUCUAGAAAAGCAAAUCCUCCAAAUGG
rnacentral:lncRNA from 1 species